GACGAACGCUGGCGGCGUGCCUAAUACAUGCAAGUAGAACGCGGUUGCGAACGGGUGAUUAAAGCGCAUGUAACUACCUCUUAGAGGGGGGUAACUAUUGUAAACGAUAGCUAAUACCGCAUACUCGCAGAUGGACCUGCUUUGUGUUAGCUAGUAGGUUGGGUAAUGGCCUACCUAGGCACCGAUACAUAGCCGGCCUGAGAGGGUGGUCUGCCACACCUGGACUGGGACACGGCCCAGACUCCCUCGGGAGGCAGCAGUAGGGAAUCUUCGGCAAUGGGGGGAACCCUGACCGAGCCACGCCGCGGUAGUGAAGAAGGUUUUCUGAUCGUAAAGCUCUGUUGUUAAGGAAGCGGUACUUAACCAGAAAGGGACGGCUAACUACGUGCCAGCAGCCGCGGUAAUUC
rnacentral:rRNA from 1 species